rnacentral:rRNA from 1 species
UGGGGAAUAUUGCACAAUGGAGGGAACUCUGAUGCAGCGACGCCGCGUGAACGAAGAAGGCUUUCGAGUCGUAAAGUUCUUUUAUAUGGGAAGAUAAUGACGGUACCAUAAGAAAAAGCCCCGGCUAACUACGUGCAAGCAGCCGCGGUAAUACGUAGGGGGCUAGCGUUGUCCGGAAUCACUGGGCGUAAAGGGUUCGCAGGCGGAAAUGCAAGUCAGGUGUAAAAGGCAGUAGCUUAACUACUGUAAGCAUUUGAAACUGCAUAUCUUGAGAAGAGUAGAGGUAAGUGGAAUUUUUAGUGUAGCGGUGAAAUGCGUAGAUAUUAAAAAGAAUACCGGUGGCGAAGGCGACUUACUGGGCUCAUUCUGACGCUGAGGAACGAAAGCGUGGGUAGCAAACAGG